UACGGAGGAUGCGAGCGUUAUCCGGAUUUAUUGGGUUUAAAGGGUGCGCAGGCGGAUUUUUAAGUCAGCGGUAAAAUCGAGGGGCUCAACCCCUUUAAGCCGUUGAAACUGGUGAUCUUGAGUGGGCGAGAAGUAUGCGGAAUGCGCGGUGUAGCGGUGAAAUGCAUAGAUAUCGCGCAGAACCCCGAUUGCGAAGGCAGCGUGCCGUGCCGCCACUGACGCUGAGGCACGAAAGCGCGGGUAUCGAACAGG
rnacentral:rRNA from 1 species